UUCCAAAUCCUCUAUAGAUCAAAGCUCUGGAAUAGACAGGCAGAUUGGGGUGACAUGAAUUGGGUCUGGACUAAAGAGUGGUGGAAACUCACAGCACGGUCUCUUCAGAGGAGUGUUUUGAUGGGGUUGUUCGCAUUCCCUUAUCCCUAUUGAUAACCCCUUCCUGCCAUCCAGCCCUGCUGAUUCAGUUGAAAAGAGGGAUAUUCUCAUUCAGAGAGUAGUCUCUCUUUCUUUCUCUCCCUC
ensembl:lncRNA